UUCCUUCUUUUUUUUAUUUAUCCUUUUCUCUCCCUAUUUUCUCUUCUCUCCCCUUCUCUUUGUGAAAGCAGGUAGAGCGAUGCAAGUACAAAUAGCAAAAAAUAGAAAAGAGAGUAAAAAGGUCUU
rnacentral:ribozyme from 1 species